rnacentral:pre_miRNA from 12 species
UGUCGGCUAGCUUAUCAGACUGGUGUUGGAGGUUCCAUUUGCACGGCAACAACGGUCUGUAAGCUGGCUGACA